UCCCUUGUAGCUCAGUCAGUAAAGAAUCUGCCUGCAAUGCAGGAAACCUGGGUUCAAUUCCUGGGUAGGGAA
rnacentral:tRNA from 1 species